rnacentral:tRNA from 1 species
GCCUGGCUGGCUCAGUUGGAAGAGCGUGUGACUCUUGAUCUCAGGGUUGUGAGUUCAAGCCCCACAGUGGGUG